GAACCUUAUGUAGUCCUGUGUUGAUUGCCUGUUAUAUGUCAUAUUUAGCACCAUUGUCUUGGAGAAACGUUGUCUCAUUUCACUGUGUAUUAUACCACUGCAUAUGGUUGGGAUGAAUUCACACUAAGAUGUUAUCACAGGUGGAGUUUCUCUGGCAGUUUCCCGCUGAACUGUGCAGCUGCUGGGCGGUGCUGGGGGCUGUGCUAAUGUGAGGUCUAGCAGUUUAAAAAGCGGAGAGUUAAGCAGAGAACAUCAAUAAUCACUCCGCGUGGUCUCAGGUGUCCCCACCUGAGAUUUUAGGUUUUGUUGAGCCCGUUAAUGCAGAGACAGCAUGGCUGUGCUGAACCUGCUCCAUCAUGGACUCUUCUGGACUCUGCUGUGUGUCAUUUUUCUACUUUCUGCCUCUGAAGAGCUAAACAUCACAGCUGGACAGGACGUCACUCUGACAUGUCGAGCUCCAAAUAGCAACAUACCGAUCACAGUUGUAGAGUGGAGCAGAGCUGACCUGAAGCAAGAAUAUGUCCUUAUGUACCGGGACGGUCACUUAUAUGCAGAUGGUCAGCAUCCAUCUUUUAAGAACCGGGUGGAUCUGCAGGACAGACAGAUGAAGGAUGGAGACGUGUCUUUGAUUCUGAAAGGUGUGAUGAUUGCUGAUAGUGGAACAUAUGAGUGUCGUGUCAUCCAGAGAAAAACAAACCGCAGGAAGAGAACUCAUCUGAAGACUCCCCCCAUCAGCAUCAUCAACCUGAGUGUUGUUGAUCCUCCAGGUCAGACAGGAGGAGACACAGAGGAUAGAGGGAAGGAGUCAGGAAUCAGUAGAGGACGUUCUGCACUGGUAGCUGUUCUCUCAGUCUUUGGUGUGAUUUGUGUUGUUGUGGCUGCUUUUGUGAUCUUUUGAAAACUGAAAAAGUCAAAUUCAUGCUUGUCCUAAGCAAAAGACAGUCUGAAAAAAAGUUUGUUGCAACGCUAUUUUUUUUUUUUUUUUUUUUUAGUUUUGUUUUUCUUUUAAUUUUUUUUGGUGCAUUAGUGGGGAGGAAGAUUCGAAAUUUUGAAGCAGAUGCACAAAUCUCAGUUCAAAAAAUAUUUCAGUAGCAGUAGGGUUGUGACCAAAAUCUCAUAUCCUGAUAAUGAUAUAUAUCACAAAAUAGUGCAGAUUCUUCGUUUUCAGCUGGGCUUCGUGUACCUGGAGUCGAGUGUUUUGACCGAUGCAAGACAGAUACAUUUUUAGACACAAGUUUUAACAGCCGCCAUUUUCUUUGUAUUUAUUACAUGGCGUGCUGCUGGGAAAAGCCUGUUCUAAUGUUUGAGUCUAAGGUUUAUUUUAAGCACCUGAUGGUUCUUUUUUGCUUCUCAUCAGUAAAUAGGGGUGGGUUUUGAUUAUCGAUUAAAAUUGAUUCUAGCUUGGACAACGUGAUAUCGAUUCAUUAAAAUCCUGAAUCAAUUUUUAAAUAUAAAUUUAUUUUCCCCGAAAUGCCAGAAUCUCAAAGCUCACAAAAUUUCAACAACCACCAAACAGCUAAAACAGUAAAUGAGAGCAGGCAAACAGAUUCUGCACAAAGACGGAAACACAAAGCGUGGACGGAUCAGAAUCAGUGAGAUGUCGCCUUUCUCACCACAGACAUGGUCGGGCUGAAAGCCGACAGCUCACUGAUUCUGAUGUUUCAGCGGGUCCGUGCUUUGUGUUCUACUGCAGAAUAUUUUUAUGGUUAUCUGCUAUAAAAUCCCAGGCCAGGAAAAUCUUCAUGUUUUUCUGUGUUUUAUCCUCAGUUACUUUGCCACAAAGGCAUCUGCUGUGAUGUUUACACAUCUGAUAAAGUCUCGGAAGUGUCAGCUUUGUUUUUUAUAGAUAUAAAUAUGUAAAAAUAUCGAUAUGUACUGAUUCGUGAUCAGAAUUAUAAUAUUUCUGACUGUCUGAGGCAAAAUUUUCCCAAAUGGAAUCGUGGAUCAAAUUGAUUUGGGACCUUGUGAAUCGGAAUCAAAUUGAUUCUAGAAAUCGGUGACGAUACCCAGCCCUAUCCGUAAACUCUCUCCAUACUCUUUCACGUGGUUGAAGAGGUUUGUCCUGUUUGAGUCUGUGGUGGGGACCAGUUUGUGGCAUAAUUUGCAUAGUACGGUUUUCUGGUCCGUGUCACAUUUUUCAUAACUAAACCAUGUCCAUGCUACAGACGUCUUUCUAAUUGGAGCCACCUGGUCCUGCGUGGGGUUACAUAUUUAAACACUAUAUAUUUUGACUAUGAGUGGAUUCAGAUUGUACGCUGUAGGAUCAUAUAAUAAUAAUCAUAUAAUAAUGUACACAAAAUAAUGUAUAGAACUGUAUAUAAUAAGGGACAGUAUUUUUAGAUGGCUGUAGUUAAGUGAUCAAAUAUGCAUCUAUGAAUACAUACAUUGGGGCCUUGGAUAUAUUUAUUCAUAGAUGGAGUACAUGUAUAUGUUGAGCUGUGUAAUUAAAGAAUGCAGUAAUGAGUUAAACAGGAGUAAAUAUCCUCAUUUUGCCAGACAUGAAAUGGAUUUAAUCAGGGUCAGGCUUUUAAAGAAAGGACUCACUACAUGUACUCUAACAGCUCUAACAGCUAAUCUAAACACAUGAACUCAUUUACACAUGCCUGUGACCAUCACUGCCAUCUGAGACUGAACAGUGGGAUCCAGGUAAUAAAGCUGUGAUUAAAAGCAGAGGAGUAGUCGGUGUUUACACUGCUUUCUUUUGGAAUUUCAACCUGCAGUUUGACUUGUUUUAGUCGUCACAUUCAUCAUUUUCUUCUACUGACUCAUGUUUGAUUUUUACAAGUUAAAAAAGAAAACUGUUUCAUCAUUUCUCAGUUCAAUUUUUGUUCUUAAGAUGUGCUGAAAAAUCCUAAUUAAAGUUUAAUUCACCAUAAAACAAGACUUAAUGAAUCUUUUACAUUUUCUUCUUUGUUGAUGUUUUUCCAGCAAAGAAAAUGUUAGGUUACAUUUUAGCAUGAAUUAUAAUUAUCAUUUUAUAAUGAGAUUGUACAACUGUGGUCACUUUAUGCUAUGGACAGAAAACGUAAAAUACACAUGAAUAAAUUAUUUAGUCAUGAAAUGAAUUUACUGCAUUGAAGUGAAGAGUUAACACAAAAUGGGGGUGUUUUGGUAUGUGAAGGAAUGGCUCCUGCAAAGUCUUGGGUGAAACAGGAAAAAUCUACUGUUUGUUGCACACAAGAAGGCAGCUGUAAACCUUAUACAGCUGCCGACAGGGCAGGGCGAUCGUGGCUCAAGAGUUGGGCGUUCGCCUUGUGAUCGG
ensembl:lncRNA